GAUGAACGCAGGCGGCGUGCUUAACACAUGCAAGUCGAACGAAGCACCUUAUUCUGAUUUCUUCGGAAUGAAAAAUUUGGUGACUGAGUGGCGGACGGGUGAGUAACGCGUGGGUAACCUGCCUCAUACAGGGGGAUAACAGUUAGAAAUGACUGCUAAUACCGCAUAAGACCACAGUACCGCAUGGUACAGGGGCAAAAACUCCGGUGGUAUGAGAUGGACCCGCGUCUGAUUAGGUAGUUGGUGGGGUAACGGCCUACCAAGCCGACGAUCAGUAGCCGACCUGAGAGGGUGACCGGGCACAUUGGGACUGAGACACGGCCCAAACUCCUACGGGAGGCAGCAGUGGGGAAUAUUGCACAAUGGGGGAAACCCUGAUGCAGCGACGCCGCGUGAGCGAUGAAGUAUUUCGGUAUGUAAAGCUCUAUCAGCAGGGAAGAAAAUGACGGUACCUGACUAAGAAGCACCGGCUAACUACGUGCCAGCAGCCGCAGUAA
rnacentral:rRNA from 1 species